UAAUCGGAAUUACUGGGCGUAAAGCGCACGCAGGCGGUCUGUCAAGUCGGAUGUGAAAUCCCCGGGCUCAACCUGGGAACUGCAUUCGAAACUGGCAGGCUUGAGUCUUGUAGAGGGGGGUAGAAUUCCAGGUGUAGCGGUGAAAUGCGUAGAGAUCUGGAGGAAUACCGGUGGCGAAGGCGGCCCCCUGGACAAAGACUGACGCUCAGGUGCGAAAGCGUGGGGAGCAAACAGGAUUAGAUACCCUGGUAGUCCACGCCGUAAACGAUGUCUACUUGGAGGUUGUGCCCUUGAGGCGUGGCUUCCGGAGCUAACGCGUUAAGUAGACCGCCUGGGGAGUACGGCCGCAAGGUUAAAACUCAAAUGAAUUGACGGGGGCCCGCACAAGCGGUGGAGCAUGUGGUUUAAUUCGAUGCAACGCGAAGAACCUUACCUGGUCUUGACAUCCACAGAACUUUCCAGAGAUGGAUUGGUGCCUUCGGGAACUGUGAGACAGGUGCUGCAUGGCUGUCGUCAGCUCGUGUUGUGAAAUGUUGGGUUAAGUCCCGCAACGAGCGCAACCCUUAUCCUUUGUUGCCAGCGGUUAGGCCGGGAACUC
rnacentral:rRNA from 1 species